rnacentral:rRNA from 1 species
UACAGAGGUCCCAAGCGUUGUUCGGGUUCAUUGGGCGUAAAGGGUGCGUAGGUGGCGCCAUAAGUCAGGUGUGAAAUUUCGGAGCUUAACUCCGAAACUGCAUUUGAUACUGUGGUGCUUGAGGACUGGAGGGGAGACUGGAAUUUACGGUGUAGCAGUGAAAUGCGUAGAGAUCGUAAGGAAGACCAGUGGCGAAGGCGGGUCUCUGGACAGUUCCUGACGCUGAGGCACGAAGGCCAGGGGAGCAAACGGG